GAAGACCAAGGGUUCCUGUCCAACGUUAAUCGGGGCAGGGUAAGUCGACCCCUAAGGCGAGGCCGAAAGGCGUAGUCGAUGGGAAACGGGUUAAUAUUCCCGUACUUCUUACAAUUGCGAUGGGGGGACGGAGAAGGCUAGGUGGGCCUGGCGACGGUUGUCCAGGUUCAAGUGCGUAGGCUUAAGAGUUAGGUAAAUCCGGCUCUUUUUAAGGCUGAGACACGACGUCGAGCACCUACGGGUGUGAAGUCAUUGAUGCCAUGCUUCCAGGAAAAGCCUCUAAGCUUCAGAUUGUAAGGAAUCGUACCCCAAACCGACACAGGUGGUCGGGUAGAGAAUACCAAGGCGCUUGAGAGAACUCGGGUGAAGGAACUAGGCAAAAUGGUACCGUAACUUCGGGAGAAGGUACGCUCUCGACGGUGAAGUCCCUCGCGGAUGGAGCUAUUGAGAGUCGCAGAUACCAGGUGGCUGCAACUGUUUAUUAAAAA
rnacentral:rRNA from 1 species